CUUGAUAAAAUAUAAGAGGUCCCGCCUGCCCCGUGAGACAAUUUAACGGCCGCGGUAUCUUGACCGUGCAAAGGUAGCAUAAUAAAUUGUUCCUUAAAUAGGGACUAGUAUGAACGGCAUCACGAGGGUUUAACUGUCUCCCUACUUUAAUCAAUGAAAUUGAUCUCUCCGUGAAGAAGCGGAGAUAUAAAUAUAAGACGAAAAGACCCCAUGGAGCUUUAAACUUACUCUCAAUUACCAAAGCUCAAAACACAUACUCGGUAAAAAUGGCAGUAGUUUUCGGUUGGGGCGACCUUGGAGAAAAAUAAAUCCUCCAAGCUGAAUAGAUCUAAAAUCUAAUGUUAGAGCAACAACUCAAACAAUCAAAACCUUGACAAAAUGACCCAGAAUUUAUCUGAUCAACGGACCAAGUUACCCUGGGGAUAACAGCGCAAUCCAUUUCAAGAGCCCUUAUCGACAAAUGGGUUUACGACCUCGAUGUUGGAUCGGGAUAUCCUAGCAGCGCAGCCGUUGCUUUAGGUUCGUUUGUUCAACGAUUAACAACCC
rnacentral:rRNA from 1 species